UCGAACGCGAACGGCUCCUUCGGGAGCCUAGUAGAGUGGCAAACGGGUGAGUAACGCGUGGGUAACGUACCCUGAUCCUGGGAAUAACCCUCGGAAACGAGGGCUAAUACCGAAUGUGGCGAACGACCGGUUGGUCGCUCGCUAAAGGUGGCCUCUUCUAUGCUGCCGGGUUGGGAUCGGCCCGCGUCCCAUUAGCUAGUUGGUGAGGUAACGGCUCACCAAUGCCACGAUGGGUAGCCGGCCUGAGAGGGUGUACGGCCACACUGGCACUGAGACAAGGGCCAGUCCCCUAUGGGAGGCGCAGGCGGGAAUAGUUCACAAUGGGCGAAAGCCUGAUGACGCGACGCCGCGUGAGCGAAGAAGACCUUCGGGUUGUAAAGCUCUGUCAGGAGGGAAGAAGGCUCUACGGGUUAAUAGCCCGUGGAAUUGACGGUACCUCCAGAGGAAGCCCCGGCUAAAUACGUGCCAGCAGCCGCGGUAAUACGUAUGGGGCAAGCGUUGUCCGGAUUUACUGGGCGUAAAGGGCGCGUAGGCGGUUUGUUAAGUCGAAGGUGAAAUCCUCGGGCUCAACUCGAGAAUUGCCUUCGAUACUGGCAAACUAGAGUGGCGGAGAGGAAAGCGGAACUCUUGGUGUAACGGUGGAAUGUGUAGAUAUCAAGAGGAACACCGGUGGCGAAGGCGGCUUUCUGGACGCACACUGACGCUCAGGCGCGAAAGCGUGGGUAGCAAACAGGAUUAGAUACCCUGGUAGUCCACGCCAUAAACGAUGGGUACUAGGUGUCGGGGGUAUCGACCCCUCCGGUGCCGCAGUUAACGCACUAAGUACCCCGCCUGGGGAUUAUGGCCGCAAGGCUGAAACUCAAAGGAAUUGACGGGGCCCCGCACAAGCGGUGGAGCAUGUGGUUUAAUUCGACGCAACGCGAAGAACCUUACCUGGGCUUGACAUGCUUGGGACAGCGCUGGAAACAGCGUCUCUCCUUCGGGAGCCCUUGCACAGGUGCUGCAUGGCUGUCGUCAGCUCGUGUCGUGAGAUGUUGGGUUAAGUCCCGCAACGAGCGCAACCCUCGUUACUAGUUGCCAUCAGUUCGGCUGGGCACUCUAGUGAGACUGCCGGUGAUAAACCGGAGGAAGGUGAGGAUGAUGUCAAGUCAUCAUGGCCCUUACGCCCAGGGCUACACACGUGCUACAAUGGUCGGCACAAAGGGUCGCUAAGCCGCGAGGUGGAGCUAAUCCCA
rnacentral:rRNA from 1 species